UGAGCGUAGGGGUCUUUAGCAGUGGGAGGAAACCAGAGGACUCGGAGAAAACCCACGAGGUUGGACAGUCGAUCCUAGUCCUUGUCACAUACAACCGGGGAAUCGAAACCACACCAGUUAACUCAAUGACAGACCCCCUAAAAAGAAGGAAAAGAGUGAAGAAAUUUAUUACAGCACAGAUAACGAAGCUCCUGUGGGUCAAUUCGCUUGUGUGCAGGGGUCCUUAGCAGUGGGAGGAAACCGGAGGACCCAGAGAUGUUCCAGAAGAACAGAGAGGGAGAGAGAGAGAGAGAGAGAGAGAGAGUUUCAAGUCUACUGACACAAACUAGGUCAACCCGGGUCUAACAUAAGGUUUAUACAGUGAAUGACCCAUGUGCUGUACUUGAUAACGAAAGAAAAGAUAACAUUUAGGUAAUGAAAAAUACAGGUGGGAUUGGAAAACGAAGAAACAGGAGGACGUGAAAAAUUAAAAAUCAGUUGACUACAUUUUUACUCCUAUACUGAAGAUGAAAGACGCUGACAAUUUGACUUCCAGCAAUACAGCAAAAAAAAAACUGUUCUCAUUAAUUGGAUUGUGA